AAAGAACAUAUUGAAGAUCCCAUAGCUGGGCAGCAAAUAAGUGAAGAAGCAGAAAAGUAAUGAGGCAGACGCAGAAGAUACCAAAUAGGACCUGACCCACAAAUAUCAAGCACUGAAGAUCCCAGAGCCGGGCAGCAAAGAAGUAAAUCCCUUAGGUGUAGAAGCAGAAAAGUAAUGAGGCAGACCCAGAAGAGAACCUCAA